GUGGCUAUGAGAUGUCUUACAUGUUUAUAUGUGUGUUUUAGGUUUGCUUUUGUGGCCUAAAAAAUGUUAAUCUUAAGGUUAAAAGUGUAAGUAACUUUAAAGCUGCAUUCUUAUCAAAGUUCUUUAAAAAAGAGUUCUCAAUACAGUUCUUAUGUGGUAAUAUAAGGGUAAAAAUUCAUUUGCUAAGACAGCUAAAGAUUUAAAGUCUUAAGUAUUUAAUGUGACAAUUCAUCUUCUCCAAAUUGAUAUGCAAAUUAUCUAUUUUAUAGAUAUUGGUCCACAGCAAAUUUGGCAUUUGUCUGACAUUGAAAAUGCUUUGAGAAGUCACUAGUAUGUGUUAACUCUCUAAGUAAUUAGAGUUUGUUUAAAGUUUAAAGAAAAAAUUUAGUUAAACUGAAUUUGGUUUAGAGAUCCUGGUUAUAGAAAUUGCUACAAGAGGUUAAAAAAAUAACUUUUAAAUGUAUGCUCUUUAAAAUUCAAACAGAGUCUCUCAAGUUAGGUAUCACACACUGAAGAUGUGUCUCUAUCUCUUGUGUGAAAAAUGACAGAAAGGUUAUUGACAUGUAAACGUUUUAAAAUACCUUCUCAACUAAAGAAGUAGAACUGGCUUAGCCUAUAUUGCAGGACAAUUAGAAUGCUGUGCUACAAGCCUUUGGGAAGGACCCUGUCACCUGCUGCCUGCUCCACAAGGCACACCCAGUGAGAAAGACCUUAUAUUGUGAUCCUGAGUACACCAACUGCUGCAAAGGUUGCCGGAAAGUGCCACUAGAUUCAUCACACUCCUUUGAAGAGGACAGUUGCUGAUCCCACUGACCCCCCCCCAAAAAAAAAAAGAUGAAGAUAAAUCAAAGAUUUGAUUCUCGGCUAAGACAAGUGGGGAAUGUAAAAGGCAGUAGCCUUAAAAUUCCCUUUUUAUGCAGUUGUCUGUUAAGUGCUUUUAGUAUGAGUUGUUUGUAGUAUGAGGUGGAAAAUUCCUUGCCCCUUCCCCCUUGAAUAAGCAGGACCUAAUCAGUGAAGGCCACCCAUUGUUCGAAGGACCCUGCCUGGGGACAAGCCUUAUCAGGACCUCAUCAGUGAAGGCCACCCAUUGUUCGAAGGACCCUACAUGGGGACAAGCUUUAUCAGGACCUUUGAACAGACUUUGUGGUGUGCCGCCUACCGGAUGGGUGGUCAUAGCCGAUGGCAGGAGGAUGUGGCGACCCUGCCUGGUUGAAUUCUAUUGGUUGUGUGAUCUUACUAUAUUUGAAAAUAGCCCGCGCUUUGCUUUGUAUGUACCCCGCUUUUUGCUAAGUUUGAAAUGAUUGGAUCUGUGUUUGCUAUAGCCUGUUAUUAGAUAUAGGUUGAUAAGGUGAUGUGCUCCCCUCCCUGAGUGUAGUCUAAAUUCCUAUAAAUUGUAUGGUUUGAGCCCUGUUCGGGGUCGAGCUUGGUAGACUGCUGCCAGUCUCCAUCUCGGCCCGGAUUGCAAUUCGUCAAUAAACAUCUUUGCUUCCUUACA